AACGAACGCUGGCGGCAGGCUUAACACAUGCAAGUCGAGCGCCCCGCAAGGGGAGCGGCAGACGGGUGAGUAACGCGUGGGAACGUACCUUUUGGUUCGGAACAACUCCGGGAAACUGGAGCUAAUACCGGAUAAGCCCUAACGGGGAAAGAUUUAUCGCCGAAAGAUCGGCCCGCGUCUGAUUAGCUAGUUGGUGAGGUAACGGCUCACCGAGGCGACGAUCAGUAGCUGGUCUGAGAGGAUGAUCAGCCACACUGGGACUGAGACACGGCCCAGACUCCUACGGGAGGCAGCAGUGGGGAAUAUUGGACAAUGGGCGCAAGCCUGAUCCAGCCAUGCCGCGUGAGUGAUGAAGGCCUUAGGGUUGUAAAGCUCUUUUGUCCGGGAAGAUAAUGACUGUACCGGAAGAAUAAGCCCCGGCGAACUUCGU
rnacentral:rRNA from 1 species